rnacentral:rRNA from 1 species
UACGUAGGGGGCUAGCGUUGUCCGGAAUCAUUGGGCGUAAAGAGCGUGUAGGCGGCUCGGUAAGUCCGCUGUGAAAAGUCCAGGGCUCAACCCUGGAAUGCCAGUGGAAACUGUCGAGCUAGAGUCCGGAAGAGGCGAGUGGAAUUCCUGGUGUAGCGGUGAAAAUGCGCAGAUAUCAGGAGGAACACCAAUGGCGAAGGCAGCUCGCUGGGACGGUACUGACGCUGAGACGCGAAAGCGUGGGGAGCAAACAGG